AGUGAAUGACAUCAAGGAAACAGGAUCAAAAGAUCAUUCAUUAUAGACCGUUUCAUAGGUCAUUCUGUUCUCCUGGUGGUGAGGAUGUGCAGAGGCUGUAUUUGUGCAGCUGUAUUCACACAUAUAAGCAGCCGACAAAGAGUUCUGGACCAGGACAGACAGGGCAGCACGGGGGCGCAGAGGGUAACACGUUUGCCUCACAGCAAGAAGGUCGCUGCUUCGAGCUUCGGCUGGAUUGGUGUAGGCUGAUGGUCUGCUGAGAAUUCUGCU